rnacentral:sRNA from 1 species
GAAGGAAGAUCGACUAAGAACGCCACGUCCUGUGGCAACGUCGAUCCGUUCACGUUCU